CUCAAAUGGCCGAAGGGAUAAGGUUCCCUAUCGCCAUCGAUUUGUUUAGUUCUGCACAGAGGCACCGAUGCUGCGGUUCAUGUCGCCGCCGGCCGUAGCCGGAGGGCUUGCUCGUACAACGUCGCACGCCAGAGGGCGUUGCCGGCCGUCGGUUUCUGCGCCGUGCCGGAGGACGUCGCCUCCACUGCCGCUCAUGGUGCGCUCACGCCGAAGGGCUGGAUAGCCGCGUCGUGGUUGGUCGCUCCGUGGGAGCCGCCCUGAGGUCGAGAGCCUCGGAUGAUGGCCAUGUGGCGGGCUCGUCGCUGUGCGCCGAGGAUUCAGGCCGAUGGGAGGCGCCGCCGGGGUGCGUCGGGCACAGAGGGUGUCGCCUCUGCCUGGGCUGUGGACUGCGCUGCCGCGCGCCUGAGGGCAUUGUCAUGCUGGUCUCCGGCCAUUAGCCGCUGCGGCCACCUCCGGGUGCAGCGCUGGGAGCAGCCGGGCCGAAGGUUGCCGCCGCUCAGCUAGGAGCCUGGCCGAGGCAGCGUUGUCCGGGCCAUGGGUCGCCGCCGAAGUUUGCCUUGGACGGCAUGCAAACGACGCCCUGGAGAUCGAGAGAUUCGCCGCGCCUGGGCCGUGAACGCCUCGGGCUGAUGCGGGAGGUCGAGGCCACGCGACCAUGCGCCGGCUGGAGACUUGCGCCGCCGUGCCGUUCUGCAGGGUGAAGCGUGCACGCACCACGCGCCGGUGGGCAUGGACUGUCGCUAGUUCCGCGUUGCUCGCAGGCGAGCCGUUAGUGAAAUCGCUCCGCCGGGGACAACGCGAUGCGUCAAAGAGGUCUGGGCUCGCACUCGUUCGGCCGUCUCUCGGCCAUCAAGGACAUCGCCGGUGACGGAUUGAUAGUGUGCGGGCGCCGCCGGCGCUGCCGGUUUGUUUAGUGGCCUAAUCGCUUGCUCGGGUUAGGGCAAAGGGCUGAUAACGUGUUAAUAGGAAAAAGAGAGAGGGAGAGAGGAGCGAAUGAUGGGAAUGAACAGUGUCUCUUUAUUGAUGACAAACAAGGCUAUAUAUACAAAGUGAGGGGACGCGUUGAACGGACGCGACCUUUACAAAGGACGCCAUAAAGGCGGUAACUAAUGACGGUUACUUAUCUAA